rnacentral:rRNA from 1 species
CUCUCCGGCGACGAGUGGCGCACGGGUGAGUAACACGUAUGCAACCUGCCCCUGUCAGGGGGACAACCCGCCGAAAGGCGGGCUAAACCCGCGUACAUGCCACCGGGGCAUCCCGGAGGCAGGAAAGGCUUCGGCCGGACAGGGAUGGGCAUGCGGCGCAUUAGGCAGUAGGCGGGGUAACGGCCCACCUAACCGACGAUGCGUAGGGGUUCUGAGAGGAAGGUCCCCCACACUGGUACUGAGACACGGACCAGACUCCUACGGGAGGCAGCAG